GUCCCUGUCGUCUAGAGGCCUAGGACACUACCCUUUCACGGUAAGAACACGGGUUCGACUCCCGUCAGGGACG
rnacentral:tRNA from 1 species